rnacentral:rRNA from 1 species
GAACCUGAAACCGUGUACGUACAAGCAGUAGGAGCACCUUCGUGGUGUGACUGCGUACCUUUUGUAUAAUGGGUCAGCGACUUAUAUUCAGUGGCAAGGUUAACCGUAUAGGGGAGCCGUAGCGAAAGCGAGUCUUAACUGGGCGCUCAGUCUCUGGAUAUAGACCCGAAACCGGGUGAUCUAGCCAUGGGCAGGUUGAAGGUUGAGUAACAUCAACUGGAGGACCGAACCGACUAAUGUUGAAAAAUUAGCGGAUGACUUGUGGCUAGGGGUGAAAGGCCAAUCAAACUCGGAGAUAGCUGGUUCUCCCCGAAAGCUAUUUAGGUAGCGCCUCGGACGAAUACUACUGGGGGUAGAGCACUGUUAAGGCUAGGGGGUCAUCCCGACUUACCAACCCUUUGCAAACUCCGAAUACCAGUAAGUACUAUCCGGGAGACACACGGCGGGUGCUAACGUCCGUCGUGGAGAGGGAAACAACCCAGACCGCCAGCUAAGGUCCCAAAGUAUUGCUAAGUGGGAAACGAUGUGGGAAGGCUCAGACAGCUAGGAUGUUGGCUUAGAAGCAGCCAUCAUUUAAAGAAAGCGUAAUAGCUCACUAGUCGAGUCGGCCUGCGCGGAAGAUGUAACGGGGCUAAGCAAUACACCGAAGCUGCGGCAAUGUCUUUUAGACAUUGGGUAGGGGAGCGUUCUGUAAGCCGUUGAAGGUGAAUCGUAAGGUUUGCUGGAGGUAUCAGAAGUGCGAAUGCUGACAUGAGUAACGACAAAGGGGGUGAAAAACCUCCUCGCCGGAAGACCAAGGGUUCCUGUCCAACGUUAAUCGGGGCAGGGUGAGUCGACCCCUAAGGUGAGGCCGAAAGGCGUAAUCGAUGGGAAACGGGUUAAUAUUCCCGUACUUCUGACUAUUGCGAUGGGGGGACGGAGAAGGCUAGGUGGGCCAGGCGACGGUUGUCCUGGUUCAAGUGCGUAGGCUUGAGAGUUAGGUAAAUCCGGCUCUCUCUAAGGCUGAGACACGACGUCGAGCUACUACGGUAGUGAAGUCAUUGAUGCCAUGCUUCCAGGAAAAGCCUCUAAGCUUCAGAUAGUCAGGAAUCGUACCCCAAACCGACACAGGUGGUCGGGUAGAGAAUACCAAGGCGCUUGAGAGAACUCGGGUGAAGGAACUAGGCAAAAUGGUACCGUAACUUCGGGAGAAGGUACGCUCUUGAUGGUGAAGUCCCUCGCGGAUGGAGCUGACGAGAGUCGCAGAUACCAGGUGGCUGCAACUGUUUAUUAAAAACACAGCACUGUGCAAAAUCGCAAGAUGACGUAUACGGUGUGACGCCUGCCCGGUGCCGGAAGGUUAAUUGAUGGGGUUAGCGCAAGCGAAGCUCUUGAUCGAAGCCCCGGUAAACGGCGGCCGUAACUAUAACGGUCCUAAGGUAGCGAAAUUCCUUGUCGGGUAAGUUCCGACCUGCACGAAUGGCGUAAUGAUGGCCACGCUGUCUCCACCCGAGACUCAGUGAAAUUGAAAUCGCUGUGAAGAUGCAGUGUACCCGCGGCUAGACGGAAAGACCCCGUGAACCUUUACUACAGCUUGGCACUGAACAUUGAACCUACAUGUGUAGGAUAGGUGGGAGGCUAUGAAGACGUGACGCCAGUUGCGUUGGAGCCGUCCUUGAAAUACCACCCUUGUAUGUUUGAUGUUCUAACUUAGACCCAUUAUCUGGGUUGAGGACAGUGCCUGGUGGGUAGUUUGACUGGGGCGGUCUCCUCCCAAAGAGUAACGGAGGAGCACGAAGGUGGGCUAAUCACGGUUGGACAUCGUGAGGUUAGUGCAAUGGCAUAAGCCCGCUUAACUGCGAGAAUGACGGUUCGAGCAGGUGCGAAAGCAGGUCAUAGUGAUCCGGUGGUUCUGUAUGGAAGGGCCAUCGCUCAACGGAUAAAAGGUACUCCGGGGAUAACAGGCUGAUACCGCCCAAGAGUUCAUAUCGACGGCGGUGUUUGGCACCUCGAUGUCGGCUCAUCACAUCCUGGGGCUGAAGUCGGUCCCAAGGGUAUGGCUGUUCGCCAUUUAAAGUGGUACGCGAGCUGGGUUUAGAACGUCGUGAGACAGUUCGGUCCCUAUCUGCCGUGGGCGUUGGAAGAUUGAAGGGGGCUGCUCCUAGUACGAGAGGACCGGAGUGGACGAACCUCUGGUGUUCGGGUUGUGUCGCCAGACGCAUUGCCCGGUAGCUAAGUUCGGAAUUGAUAAGCGCUGAAAGCAUCUAAGCGCGAAGCGAGCCCUGAGAUGAGUCUUCCCUGACAGUUUAACUGUCCUAAAGGGUUGUUCGAGACUAGAACGUUGAUAGGCAGGGUGUGUAAGCGUUGUGAGGCGUUGAGCUAACCUGUACUAAUUGCCCGUGAGGCUUAACCAUACAACACCCAAGGGGUUUUGUA